CGGUUGGUUAAGUUUUCGGUUGUACACCUCAAUUUGGCGACGAGAGAAAUCGGAUUUUUUUCGCGAAAUUCAAGUGUUAGAAUCGUUUUGUGACUCUGAACGGAGUGUUCAUCAUCUGACAAAGCCAGCAAGUUGAUUGGUCUGAUCGGCAAAGGUCGAACGACAACUUCAACGGUUCUUCGGGAUAUUUGAUACUUGUUGGAAACGCAGAAAUAAUGGCCCAUCGGCGACAAGUCCGGGCAACUAAGAAGGAACAUCAGGUCUUCCAGCCGAACGUUUGGACGCGUAGUACCGUGACUGCGGUAAAUGAUAACAUGGAGAAAAUGCCGAGGAAACCUGAAGCGAAGCCAACGCAGGGGCAUUCACGAAAGCGAAAACAACAAGAGUCACUGGCUAAUUCCGGGGACACACCUGAACUACGGCGUUCGAAAAGGGCUAGGAAACAAAACCUUAAUAACAAUGAUUAUGUUUAUGAUUGAAUUUGAACUUUUAUGUGUAUAAACAAGUGAAUUGAAUUAGGAUUUAAAGAAAUGAAAUUGUAUUAACCAUCUGAUCGAUUACUGUUGAUCAAAUUCUUUUAAAGAGGGAAGAUGAUGUAGUGUAUAAAUGAGUGAAUAACAAGAAUGUUUUGAAAUCUAAUAUUUUAUCGUGAAUAAACAAACGGUUCACGAUAGGAAUAAAU